UGGCGCACGGGUGAGUAACGCGUGGGAAUAUGCCCUUCACUACGGAACAACGUCGGGAAACUGACGCUAAUACCGUAUAAUGUCUAUGGACCAAAGAUUUAUCGGUGAAGGAUUAGCCCGCGUAAGAUUAGGUAGUUGGUGAGGUAAUGGCUCACCAAGCCUACGAUCUUUAGCUGGUCUGAGAGGAUGAUCAGCCACACUGGGACUGAGACACGGCCCAG
rnacentral:rRNA from 1 species